UAAAGAGAGUGCAAGCGUUAAUCGGAAUUACUGGGCGUAAAGCGCGCGUAGGCCGUCGAGUAAGUCGGAUGUGAAAUCCCCGGGCUUAACCUGGGAAUUGCAUUCGAUACUGCUUGACUAGAGUGUGGAAGAGGGAAGCGGAAUUUCCGGUGUAGCGGUGAAAUGCGUAGAUAUCGGAAGGAACACCAGUGGCGAAGGCGGCUUCCUGGUCCAACACUGACGCUGAGGCACGAAAGCGUGGGGAGCGAACAGG
rnacentral:rRNA from 1 species